AGUGGGGGAUAUUGCACAAUGGACGAAAGUCUGAUGCAGCGACGCCGCGUGGAGGAUGACGGUCUUCGGAUUGUAAACUCCUGUUAAGCGGGAAGAAAUCUUUACGAGUAAUAUGCGUAAAGGAUGACGGUACUGCUAGAGAAAGCUCCGGCUAACUUCGUGCCAGCAGCCGCGGUAAGACGAAGGGAGCAAGCGUUAUUCGGAAUCACUGGGCGUAAAGAGCGUGUAGGCGGCUAAUUAAGUCGAUUGUUAAAUUCCCUGGCUUAACUAGGGGUCAGCAAUUGAUACUGAUUAGCUAGAGGACAAGAGAGAGAAGUGGAAUUCUCGGAGUAGCGGUAAAAUGCAUAGAUCUCGAGAGGAACACCGGUUGCGAAGGCGGCUUCUUGGCUUGUAUCUGACGCUAAAGCGCGAAAGCGUGGGGAGCAAACAGGAUUAGAUACCCUGGUAGUCCACGCUGUAAACGAUGAUCACUAGAUGUGGGUUCUGUUUAACAGGAUCUGUGUCGAAGCUAACGCGUUAAGUGAUCCGCCUGGGAAGUACGGUCGCAAGAUUAAAACUCAAAGGAAUUGACGGGGGUCCGCACAAGCGGUGGAACAUGUGGUUUAAUUCGACACUACGCGAGGAACCUUACCUAGGCUUGACAUGUAACUGACUGCUGUCGAAAUACGGCUUUCCAGGUUUACCUGGACAGUUACACAGGUGCUGCAUGGCUGUCGUCAGCUCGUGUCGUGAGAUGUUGGGUUAAGUCCUUUAACGAGCGCAACCCUUGCCAUCAGUUGCUACUUUCGUAAGAGAGGCACUCUGGUGGGACUGCCUAGGAAACUAGGAGGAAGGUGGGGAUGACGUCAAGUCCGCAUGGCCCUUAUGCCUAGGGCGACACACGUGUUACAAUGGCUAGUACAAAGGGAUGCAAACCCGCGAGGGGGAGCAAACCUCAUAAAGCUAGUCUAAGUUCGGAUUGAAGUCUGCAACCCGACUUCAUGAAGUUGAAAUCGCUAGUAAUCGCGUAUCAGAAUGACGCGGUGAAUACGUUCUCGGACCUUGUACACACCGCCCGUCACACCACGAAAGUCGUUUAUACCCGAAGUUAUUUUAGCUAACCCGUAAGGGGGGCGGAUAAUCAAGGUGUGGAGGAUGAUUGGGGUG
rnacentral:rRNA from 1 species